GUUAGGAAUAUUGGACAAUGGGCGCAAGCCUGAUCCAGCCAUGCCGCGUGAACGAUGAAGGCCUUCGGGUUGUAAAGUUCUUUAGCCGAUGAUUAUAAUGACUGUAGUCGGAAAAUAAGCCCCGGCUAACUUCGUGCCAGUAGCCGCGGUAAUACGAAGGGGGCGAGCGUUAUUCGGAAUCACUGGGCGUAAAGCGUGCGUAGGCGGUCUCGUAAGUUAGGAGUGAAAGCCAGGGCUCAACCUUGGAAUUGCUCUUAAUACUGCAAGGCUAGAAUCUCGGAGAGGAUAGCGGAAUUUCCAGUGUAGCAGUGAAAUGCGUAGAUAUUGGAAGGAACACCAGUGGCGUAAGCGGCUAUCUGGACGAGUAUUGACGCUGAGGCACGAAAGCGUGGGGAUCAAACAGGAUUAGAUACCCUAGUAGUCC
rnacentral:rRNA from 1 species